AGAGUUUGAUCCUGGCUCAGAAUCAACGCUGGCGGCGUGCUUCAGACAUGCAAGUCGAACGCGAAAGUUUCCUUCGGGAGACAAGUAGAGUGGCGCACGGGUGAGUAACACGUAGGUAAUCUACCUUUGGAUGGGGAAUAACAACCGGAAACGGUUGCUAAUACCGCAUAAUGCAGCGGCACCUAAUGGUGACAGUUGUUAAAGCGGGGGAUCGAAAGACCUCGCGUNUAAAGAGGAGCCUGCGGCGGAUUAGCUAGUUGGUAAGGUAAUGGCUUACCAAGGCUACGAUCCGUAACCGGCCUGAGAGGGCGGUCGGUCACACUGACACUGACAUACGGGUCAGACUCCUACGGGAGGCAGCAGUCGGGAAUUUUGGGCAAUGGGCGAAAGCCUGACCCAGCAACGCCGCGUGAAGGAUGAAAUCCCUCGGGAUGUAAACUUCGCAAGAACGGGAAGAAUAAGUUGGGGACAAUNCCCCCUAUGAUGA
rnacentral:rRNA from 1 species